rnacentral:rRNA from 1 species
GGUUUUUUGUUUAUAAUAAAAGAUUUAAUCUGUUCAAUGAAUUUAUUAAAUAAUUGCAGUAUUUUGACUGUACUAAGGUAGCAUAAUUAUUUGUUUUUUAAUUGAGAACUGGGAUGAAAGAUUGAAUGAAAAAUAAAUUUUAUUAUUAUAUUUAUUUGAAUUUAAUUUAAAAAUAAAAAAGUUUUUAUUUUAUUAAUAGACGAUAAGACCCUAUAGAAUUUAAUUUUUUAAUAUAAAUAAUUUUUAUUAAAAAAUUUGAUUGGGGAGAUUAAAAAAUUUUAUGAACUUUUUUAUAUUUUUUAAAUUAUUAUUAAUUAUUAAAGAUUAAUUAAAUUGUUAUUAUUUGUAAAAUUACCUUAGGGAUAACAGCAUAAUUUUUUUAAAAAGUUCUUAUUGAUAAAAAAGAUUAUGACCUCGAUGUUGAAUUAUAAUUAAAUUAAAGUGUAGAAUUUUUAAUAUUUAGUCUGUUCGACUAUUUAAAUUAUACAU